rnacentral:rRNA from 1 species
UACGUAGGCGGAAAAUUAAGUCAGUAGUGAAAUCCCGCAGCUUAACUGUGGAACUGUUAUUGAUACUGGUUUUCUUGAAUAUAGUUGAGGUGGGCGGAAUGUGUAAUGUAGCGGUGAAAUGCUUAGAUAUUACACAGAACACCGAUUGCGAAGGCAGCUUACUAAGCUAUGAUUGACGCUGAGGUACGAAAGCGUGGGGAGCGAACAGGAUUAGAUACCCUGGUAGUCC